AUACAUCUGACGAGUCCUAAAUAAAGCGAAACGCACGUCGUGGAU
rnacentral:hammerhead_ribozyme from 1 species